rnacentral:rRNA from 1 species
GUGUCAGCCGCCGCGGUAAGACGAACCGUGCGAACGUUGUUCGGAUUCACUGGGCUUAAAGGGCGCGUAGGCGGCGCGGCCAGUCGGGGGUGAAAGCCCACAGCUUAACUGUGGAAGUGCCUCCGAUACUGCCGCGCUCGAGGGAGGUAGGGGCAGAGGGAACUUCCGGUGGAGCGGUGAAAUGCGUUGAUAUCGGAAGGAACGCCGGUGGCGAAAGCGCUCUGCUGGACCUCUUCUGACGCUGAGGCGCGAAAGCCAGGGGAGCAAACGGGAUUAGAAACCCCCGUAGUCC